UAGGGAAUCUUCGGCAAUGGGGGGAACCCUGACCGAGCAACGCCGCGUGAGUGAAGAAGGUUUUCGGAUCGUAAAGCUCUGUUGUUAAGGAAGAACGAGUGUGAGAAUGGAAAGUUCAUGCUGUGACGGUACUUAACCAGAAAGGGACGGCUAACUACGUGCCAGCAGCCGCGGUAAUACGUAGGUCCCGAGCGUUGUCCGGAUUUAUUGGGCGUAAAGCGAGCGCAGGCGGUUAGAAAAGUCUGAAGUGAAAGGCAGUGGCUCCACCAUUGUAGGCUUUGGAAACUGUUUAACUUGAGUGCAGAAGGGGAGAGUGGAAUUCCAUGUGUAGCGGUGAAAUGCGUAGAUAUAUGGAGGAACACCGGUGGCGAAAGCGGCUCUCUGGUCUGUAACUGACGCUGAGGCUCGAAAGCGUGGGGAGCGAACAGG
rnacentral:rRNA from 1 species